UAAGGAAUAUUGGUCAAUGGACGCAAGUCUGAACCAGCCAUGCCGCGUGGAGGAUGAAGGUCCUCUGGAUUGUAAACUUCUUUUAUAGGGGAAGAAAUACUCUUUUUUCAAAGAGCUUGACGGUACCCUAUGAAUAAGCACCGGCUAACUCCGUGCCAGCAGCCGCGGUAAUACGGAGGGUGCAAGCGUUAUCCGGAUUUACUGGGUUUAAAGGGUGCGUAGGCGGGUUAGUAAGUCUGUGGUGAAAUCUCGGAGCUUAACUCCGAAACUGCCGUGGAUACUAUUAAUCUUGAAUGUCGUUGAGGUUAGCGGAAUAUGUCAUGUAGCGGUGAAAUGCUUAGAUAUGACAUAGAACACCUAUUGCGAAGGCAGCUGGCUAAACGAAUAUUGACGCUGAGGC
rnacentral:rRNA from 1 species